CACAGGAAGGAGGGGCUAGUCAGAGCACAGGGAGGAGGGGCUAGUCAGAGCACAGGGAUGUGGGGCUAGUCAGAGCACAGGGAUGUGGGGCUAGUCAGAGCACAGGGAGGUGGGGCUAGUCAGAGCACAGGGAGGAGGGACUAGUCAGAGCACAGGAAGGAGGGGCUAGUCAGAGGGCAGGGAUGUGGGGCUAGUCAGAGCACAGGGAGGAGGGGCUAGUCAGAGCACAGGGAUUUGGGGCUAGUCAGAGCACAGAGAGGAGGGGCAGGUCAGAGCACAGGGAGGAGGGGCUAGUCAGAGCACAGGGAGCAGGGGCUAGUCAGAGCACAGGGAGGAGGGGCUAGUCAGAGCACAGGGAUGUGGGGCUAGUCAGAGCACAGGGAGGUGGGGCUAGUCAGAGCACAGGGAGGAGGGACUAGUCAGAACACAGGAAGGAGGGGCUAGUCAGAGCACAGGGAUGUGGGG
ensembl:lncRNA